rnacentral:tRNA from 1 species
GGGAAUAUAGCUCAGUGGUAGAGUGCGUGCCUAGCAGGCAUGAGGUCUUGGGUUCAAUCCCCAGUACAUCCA